AGGGCGAACGCUGGCGGCAGGCCUAACACAUGCAAGUCGAGCGCCCGUAGCAAUACGGGAGCGGCAGACGGGAUAGUAACACGUGGGAACGCGCCCUUCGGUUCGGAAUAACUCAGGGAAACUUGAGCUAAUACCGGAUACGCCCUUACGGGGAAAGAUUUAUUGCCGAAGGAACGGCCCGCGUCCGAUUAGCUAGUUGGUGAGGUAAUGGCUCACCAAGGCGACGAUCGGUAGCUGGUCUGAGAGGAUGACCAGCAUCACUGGGACUGAGACACGGCCCAGACUCCUACGGGAGGCAGCAGUGGGGAAUAUUGGACAAUGGGCGCAAGCCUGAUCCAGCCAUGCCGCGUGGAUGAUGAAGGCCUUAGGGUUGUAAAGUCCUUUUAACGGGGAGAUAAUGACGGUACCGUAGAAUAAGCCCGGCUAACUUCGUGCCAGCAGCCGC
rnacentral:rRNA from 1 species